GUUUUUGGUUGCUGGAAGCACAUGUUGGCAAAUUUUGGUGAAACGGCCAUCCAUUCUUCUUCUGUUCCAUUCUUGUGGCAUUGCCAGUGAGUAUAUUAUAAUUUAAGAACCUGAGAAGCAAAUGUAUGUUAACAUUUGAUGCAGAUUACCUCAUUUUGUUGUAUAUUUAUUUGAUUCAUUUUUGUAGUUAGCUGUGGCUAGCUUAAUUUACCUCUUUAAGAGACAGUAAUACUGACAGUUUGUAGCCAAGUGCUUGUUAUAUUUACCUUUAGUAUUACCUGCCUGUAAUAUUUAUAUGUGUUAUUUCUUUAUUUAUUUCAGUUUUACCUUUUCUUCAUCAAAUUCCUGCCAAAUACACGUGGCCUGUUCAUUGGAGGAACCUUUUGGAGAGAUAAGUUAUGCUAGCUGUUUUAUACAUAUGAGGACAGUAUAGUAGUCAGAGAUGUGACAUUUGCAGCCGAUUUGAUGUAUACAAAAAGAAGUUAGUAAAUACCAUGAUGUAAUGGUAAGUUUAACACCUGAAGAGAUUCUUAGUGGUAUGGGGGUCAUAGCUUGACUAAUGGUUGACAACAAAUACAGG